UACCAUGCAGUCGACGAGCUCUUCGGGACUUAGUGGCGCACGGGUGCGUAACGCGUGGGAAUCUGCCCUUGGGUUCGGAAUAACUCUGAGAAAUUAGUGCUAAUACCGGAUGAUGUCUUCGGACCAAAGAUUUAUCGCCCAAGGAUGAGCCCGCGUUAGAUUAGCUAGUUGGUGGGGUAAUGGCCUACCAAGGCGACGAUCUAUAGCUGGUCUGAGAGGAUGAUCAGCCACACUGGGACUGAGACACGGCCCAGACUCCUACGGGAGGCAGCAGUGGGGAAUAUUGGACAAUGGGCGAAACCCUGAUCCAGCCAUGCCGCGUGAGUGAUGACGGCCUUAGGGUUGUAAAGCUCUUUUACCAGGGAUGAUAAUGACAGUACCUGGAGAAUAAGCUCCGGCUAACUCCGUGCCAGCAGCCGCGGUAAUACGGAGGGAGCUAGCGUUGUUCGGAAUUACUGGGCGUAAAGCGCGCGUAGGCGGAUUUUCAAGUCAGAGGUGAGAGCCCGGAGGCUCAACCCUCGGAACUGCCUUCGAUACUGGAUGACUAGAGUCUCUGGAGAGGCGAGUGGAAUUACCGAGUGUAGAGGUGAAAUUCGUAGAUAUUCGGAGAAACACCUAGUGGGCGAAGGCGACUCGACUGGACUAAGAUAUCUGACGCUGAGGUGCGAAAGUCGUGGGGGAGCAAAACAGGAUUAGGAUACCCUGGUAGUCCACAGCCGGUAAACGAUGGAUUAGCUAGCUGUCUGGGGCUCUAUGGCAUCUAUGAGGUGGGCGCAGCUAACGGCAUUAGCUUAUCCGCCUGGGGGAGUACGGUCGCAAGAAUUAAAACUCAAAGGAAUUGGACGGGGGGCCCUGCCACAAGCGGUGGAGCAUGUGGUUAAUACGGAGGCAACGGCGCAGAUCUACAGCAUGAACAUCCUCGGUACCGACUCGGCCAGAAGACUGCCAUAUCUUCAUACGGCUGG
rnacentral:rRNA from 1 species